GAUGAACGCUGACAGAAUGCUCAACACAUGCAAGUCUACUUGAUCCUUCGGGUGAUGGUGGCGGACGGGUGAGUAACGCGUAAAGAACUUGCCCUGCAGUCUGGGACAACAUUUGGAAACGAAUGCUAAUACCGGAUAUUAUGUGUAGUUCGCAUGAAAUUCAUAUAGAAAGUCUAUAUGCGCUGCAGGAGAGCUUUGCGUCCUAUUAGCCCUAGUUGGUGAGGUAACGGCUCA
rnacentral:rRNA from 1 species